rnacentral:rRNA from 1 species
GAAACUGCGAAUGGCUCAUUAUAUAAGUUAUCGUUUAUUUGAUAGUGCCUAUCCUACAUGGAUAACAGUGGUAAUUCUAGAGCUAAUACAUGCUAAAUGCUCCGACUUCGGAAGGAGCGUAUUUAUCAGAUUAAAAACCAGCGCCCUUUGGGCUCCUUGGUGGCUCAUGAUAACUCCACAGAUCGCAUGGCCUAGUGCCGGCGAUGGCUCAUUCAAAUUUCUUCCCUAUCAACUUUCGACGGUAGGGUCUUGGCCUACCGUGGUUGUAACGGGUGACGGAGGGUUAGGGCUCGACCCCGGAGAGGGAGCCUGAGAAACGGCUACCACAUCCAAGGAAGGCAGCAGGCGCGCAAAUUAUCCAAUCCCGACACGGGGAGAUAGUGACAAUAAAUAUCGAUACGGGGCUCUUUUGGGCCCCGUAAUUGGAAUGAGUACAAUUUAAACCUCUUAACGAGGAACAAUUGGAGGGCAAGUCUGGUGCCAGCAGCCGCGGUAAUUCCAGCUCCAAUAGCGUAUAUUAGAAGUUGUUGUGGUUAAAAAGCUCGAUAGUCGAACCUCGGGCUCGGCCGGCCGGUCCGCCUCACCGCGUGCACUGGCCCGGCCGGGCCCUUCCCUCUGCGGAACCGCAUGCCCUUCACUGGGCGUGUCGGGGAGGCAGGACUUUUACUUUGAAAAAAUUAGAGUGCUCAAGGCAGGCCAAUGCUCGGAUACAUUAGCAUGGAAUAAUGAAAUAGGACGUUCGGUUCUAUUUUGUUGGUUUCUAGGACCGCCGUAAUGAUCAAUAGGGACGGUCGGGGGCAUCAGUAUUCAGCCGCGAGAGGUGAAAUUCUUAGACCGGCUGAAGACUAACUACUGCGAAAGCAUUUGCCAAGGACGUUUUCGCUGAUCAGGAACGAAAGUUAGGGGAUCGAAGACGAUCAGAUACCGUCGUAGUCUUAACCAUAAACGGUGCCGACUGGGGAUCGGGCGCUGUUCCUUUUAGACGCGCUCGGCACCCUUCGAGAAAUCAAAGUGCGUGGGCUCCAGGGGGAGUAUGGCGGCAACGCUGAAACUUAAAGAAAUUGACGGAAGGGCACCACCAGGGGUGGAACCUGCGGCUUAAUUUGACUCAACACGGGGAAACUCACCAGGUCCAGACACAGUGAGGAUUGACAGUUUGAGAGCGCUUUCUUGAUUCUGUGGGUGGUGGUGCAUGGCCGUUCUUAGUUGGUGGGGUGACUUGUCUGCCUAAUCGCGAUUACGAACGAGACCUUCACUGCUAAAUAGCACCCACCGCCCCGGCGGUGCGGCGGCUUCUUAGUGGGACUAUCGGCUCAAGCCGAUGGAAGU